rnacentral:lncRNA from 1 species
UCAAAGUACUCUCCCUCAAAGUAUGCCCUGCGGUCCAAAAAACGUAUGUAACCAAUCAAAUCCUGAAAUUACUGACGUCCGGCUGACUCUGACCUCAGUCAUUCUUAAAGAAGAACGAUUCGAAAGACCGGGGUUUGAGGUCAUCAAGAACACCGCUAAAAUUAUUCCAGAUCGAAGGGAAGUAUUGAUGUCUUUGUUUUAUCCGCUCUACUAAAAGUAAAAUGGCAUUUAGCGUUGUACAUUUGCUAAUGACCGAUGAAGUGGCUGUCGUCCAAGCAAAUGAGUGUCAGAUGAUAAAAAGGGACAUGUAACUGGCCUUCGUAUAAAGAAAGAAGUCACAUGAAAAGAGCAAUUCUGGAACACAGAGAACCAGAUACAUCCUGAGAGAAUUUUUAUAUUGUUAUCCUGGGAGAAUAUUGUGCUUUCAAAGAAAAUCGGGCCACCAGAGAGGUACCUUGCAAUAUUAUUGAAAAUAUUAUAAAAGACUGGUUGAAAAGUGUUUCAUUUAGAGAAAAGUAUCAUAAACAAAAAGGAAAAUGUACAACAGAAGGAAGUUUGUAAACAAUGGAAUAAAAAAUUUGUGUAUUAGCUUGUACGAAAAUACUGUAAUUAAAGUUAUUAAUUGUUCA